rnacentral:tRNA from 1 species
GCCUGGGUGGCUCAGUCAGUUGAGCAUCUGACUUCGGCUCAGGUCAUGAUCUCACAGUUUGUGGGUUCGAGCCCCGUGUCAGGCU